rnacentral:rRNA from 1 species
AGGGUGUAAACGCUGCAGACUUGGUGUUGGAAGUCCUUUGGGGGCAUUCAGUGCCGGAGAGAAGUUGUUAAGUCUGCUACUUGGGGAGUACGUCCGCAAGGAUGAAACUUAAAGGAAUUGGCGGGGGAGCACCGCAACGGGAGGAGCGUGCGGUUUAAUUGGAUUCAACACCGUAAAACUCACCAGGGAAGACUGUUACAUGAAAGCCGAGAUGAAGACUCUGCUAGAUUUUUCAGAGAGGAGGUGCAUGGCGUCAGUGACU